AUCUCCAGCUUGCUGGGGGGAUUAGUGGCGAACGGGUGAGUAACACGUGAGUAACCUGCCCUUGACUCUGGGAUAAGCCUGGGAAACUGGGUCUAAUACUGGAUACGACUCUUCACCGCAUGGUGGGGGGUGGAAAGCUUUUGUGGUUUUGGAUGGACUCGCGGCCUAUCAGCUUGUUGGUGGGGUAAUGGCCUACCAAGGCGACGACGGGUAGCCGGCCUGAGAGGGUGGACGGCCACACUGGGACUGAGACACGGCCCAGACUCCUACGGGAGGCAGCAGUGGGGAAUAUUGCACAAUGGGCGCAAGCCUGAUGCAGCGACGCCGCGUGAGGGAUGAAGGCCUUCGGGUUGUAAACCUCUUUCAGUAGGGAAGAAGCGAAAGUGACGGUACCUGCAGAAGAAGCGCCGGCUAACUACGUGCCAGCAGCCGCGGUAAUACGUAGGGCGCAAGCGUUAUCCGGAAUUAUUGGGCGUAAAGAGCUCGUAGGCGGUUUGUCGCGUCUGCCGUGAAAGUCCGGGGCUUAACUCCGGAUCUGCGGUGGGUACGGGCAGACUUGAGUGAUGUAGGGGAGACUGGAAUUCCUGGUGUAGCGGUGAAAUGCGCAGAUAUCAGGAGGAACACCGAUGGCGAAGGCAGGUCUCUGGGCAUUAACUGACGCUGAGGAGCGAAAGCAUGGGGAGCGAACAGGAUUAGAUACCCUGGUAGUCCAUGCCGUAAACG
rnacentral:rRNA from 1 species